UACGUAGGGUCCGAGCGUUGUCCGGAAUUACUGGGCGUAAAGAGCUCGUAGGUGGUUUGUCGCGUUGUUCGUGAAAACUCACAGCUCAACUGUGGGCGUGCGGGCGAUACGGGCAGACUAGAGUACUGCAGGGGAGACUGGAAUUCCUGGUGUAGCGGUGGAAUGCGCAGAUAUCGGGAGGAACACCGGUGGCGAAGGCGGCCCGCUGGGCAGUGGCUGACGCUGAGGCGCGACAGCGUGGGGAGCAAACAGG
rnacentral:rRNA from 1 species